AGGUGCGUGUAUGUAUGAAUAUAUACAUGUGUGUAUAUAUGAAUAUGUAUGUGUGUGUGUCUGCUCAAGAGUUGAGCUUCGUGUGUGGCAUGUAUGCAUAUAUAUAGAUAUGUGCAUAUGUGUGUGCAAGUGUAUGGAAACCUCGGUUGAAUUGUUCAAACUCGAAUAAAUCCGAUUAGCCUAAUACUUUUGGGUGUUGCACCGGCGGUUUCCUUCAAGAGUUAGCCGCUAGCACCGCCAAUCUUAAAGAUCCAUUGAUGAAAUCGGUGUGGAUACUUGUAGAGGCAUCACGUAUGGGGCGCUCGGUCGAUGACUCGAAAAGUUUCAGGUUCACGAGGUGGCUCGGCCUACUAAUAAUCUACAAAAAUACACAAAUUAAAGUCAGUUGUGGACAAUCCCAUCCUGGCCCCUUGAGCACUCGAACGCAAAUCUUUGGUUAUAAUUAAUCUUCCUGUUUUACUUUAUAUGAGCAUCUUGAUGGUCUUUUCUCCUUCAAAAAAAUUAAAAGAAAAAAUUGUUGCAUUCCUAAUUAGUUAUACGGGAAGUAGAACUUUGGUUAUAAUUAAUCUUCCUGUUUGUAAUUACAUCGACCUGUACGAAUUCACUAUAUCUUUUGACAAGAAUGAUUUUAAGAGCAUUGUUGUUUAGCGAUAUUGUUGGAGUUUCCAUACCCUGCUUUUAUAUUUUUUAGUUUAUUUUCGUUUUUCACUGGACUGGGCUUUUACCCCCAUUUAGCUAUCGACAAAAAAAAAAAGCCUAUAUACACCCAACAA